rnacentral:rRNA from 1 species
CCUACGGGUGGCAGCAGUGGGGGAUAUUGCACAAUGGGGGAAACCCUGAUGCAGCGACGCCGCGUGGGCGAAGAAGUAUUUCGGUAUGUAAAGCCCUAUCAGCAGGGAAGAAGAAAUGACGGUACCUGAGUAAGAAGCACCGGCUAAAUACGUGCCAGCAGCCGCGGUCAUACGGAGGGUGCAAGCGUUAUCCGGAUUUACUGGGUGUAAAGGGAGCGUAGGCGGCACGGCAAGCCUGAUGUGAAAGCCCGCGGCGCAACCGCGGGACUGCAUUUGGAACUACCGGGCUGGAGUGCAGGAGAGGUAGGCGGAAUUCGUAGUGUAGCGGUGAAAUGCAUAGAUAUCACGCAGAACCCCGAUUGCGAAGGCAGCAUACCGGUGCACAACUGACGCUCAGGCACGAAAGCGUGGGUAUCGAACAGGAUUAGAUACCCCAGUAGUC